GAUGAACGCUGGCGGCGUGCCUAAUACAUGCAAGUCGAGCGAACGGACGAGAAGCUUGCUUUUCUGAUGUUAGCGGCGGACGGGUGAGUAACACGUGGAUAACCUACCUAUAAGACUGGGAUAACUUCGGGAAACCGGAGCUAAUACCGGAUAAUAUUUUGAACCGCAUGGUUCAAAAGUGAAAGACGGUCUUGCUUUCACUUAUAGAUGGAUCCGCGCUGCAUUAGCUAGUUGGUAAGGUAACGGCUUACCAAGGCAACGAUGCAUAGCCGACCUGAGAGAGUGAUCGGCAACACUGGACCUGGGACACGGUCCAGACUCCUACGGGAGGCAGCAGUAGGGAAUCUUCCGCAAUGGGCGAAAGCCUGACGGAGCAACGCCGCGUGAGUGAUGAAGGUCUUCGGAUCGUAAAACUCUGUUAUUAGGGAGGAACAUAUGUGUAAGUAACUGUGCACAUCUUGACGGUACCUAAUCAGAAAGCCACGGCUAACUACGUG
rnacentral:rRNA from 1 species